rnacentral:pre_miRNA from 1 species
AGCUUUCUUUAUCCGUUCUGAGAUUUCGUCACAUACCAGACCAAAAGGGCUGAUGAGGCUUCAAAGUGAAGCG